UUAGAUCACCCCAGGUAACUGUCUCUCCACAUCAAUCUAUUGAUUCUCACUGCAUGGAGUGAAGAAGAAACCACCAGAUCAGUGAAUGCCUCCAACUGCAAUUUAUGGUGGUGAUGAAGGAAGAGAUAAGUCGACAUUUUCACUGGACCGAUUGGACUGAAAAGGCAAGAUUGAAUGAGGCAGUUCUUGUUAGCAGCGUGAGAACAGACUAGUACGUGAUGGGACAGUCCCUGCUGUGCAUAUUCUCGGCUCCUUUGAAGUGAUCUAGUCAUGGACUUCAGUAUCCAGUGGAACGGAAGGACUGGAAUGGUCUUCAGCAGGUAACUAAUUCUUCAGCUCGAUCAAGUUGUGCAGUCUUGGCUUCAGAGACUGUUGCUGUUUUAUCUCUCUCCCAUGUCCGAGAAAACCAGUAUGCUGGCAUGGUGUUACAGCACUGUAAUUAAAUCACAUGACUUUCAUAGGGACAUGGGCAGAGAAAUUCUAGGCAGAAAAGGGCAGGUCCCUGACAGAACCCCACCUUCAAGCUGAAAAGCCUAAAACCCACAGCCCAAAGGGAGAACUUAUAUCCCUGUUUUCCUGCUCGAAUGUAGCCUUUUCCUAAACCACCCGUGGCGCACCCCACCCCGUAUCCUGUGCCUGUAAAUACCCCAGACUCAACCAGCAGAGAGGACAAGCAGCUGGACAUUGGGGACUACGGCUAGAUGUCGGAGAGAAGUGGCUUGACAUCAGAGGGACAGCUAGAUGGCGUAACUUCAGAUAAGAAUCCAGCUGGAGAUGGACUUUAGAAGAUUACCUACCCACCUCAUCCCCAUUUCUGCUCCCCUUCCCAUUGAGAGCCAUUUUCACUGGCAAUAAAAUCCUCUGCAUAUACCAUCCUUCAAAUUUAUUUGUGUGACCUCAUUUUUCCUGGAUGCCGGACAAGAGCUCAGGAGCCACAAAUGCAGAUACAAAAGGCUGUCACACUGGACCUUUGCCCUCGCUGACAGAGAGCAUCUGCCUCAUGCCAAAAGACAGAGGGCCCACAGAGCUGUUAACACUUAAGCUGUCCAUGGACAGAAGAUCUUAAAAAGCACUGUAACACACACUCUGGGACUUCAGGAGUCACAGUCACCCCCCGCCUGGAUAUUGCCUUGGGGCCUGCAUGAAGUUCACUCCUGCAGAUGCCCAAAAAAUGCUCACUCCAGCUCCUGUACCCCCUUACCUGUGAGCUCCCUCCCAUGAGGGUGGAACACAGUGGGUCUGAGUGAGUGGAGUUUGAUCCUGCUAGCAGCAAAACAGCCAGCUCAUUCCAGUGCUCAUGCAUUCUAGUUUCUGCCUCAUUCUCUCGUGUGCUCCCGCCUGUGAGGAGUUGACAGUGGCAGGCUGAGUAAACAAGGCACCCCUGUCACAAGUCCUAUGAACGGGUCAGGAAAAUAUCCUGCUUCAGUUUUUCUGAAAUUUUUGAGGAUGGAAUGCCAUUUGUUGCUGUAUUUUUUUCUCCCCCUAUGGAGUUAGUGUCUGUGUCAUUAGUUAAUAUAAAUUAAUUUAUCACAGAAAAAAUAUUUUGUUGACAAAGGUAUGGUCUGGACAAAUUAUUUAAACAAUUCAAGUCUCAGUUUCCUCCUAUGCCGUGUGGGAAAUAUUUUAUUUCCUUUUCAGUGUUGUUGUACAGAAGACAAUAUAUGUAAACCAACCAAAUUCAAUGCCCUGAAUCUAAAUAUGUAGUGUUAUUAUUUUAGUAAAUAAAUGUGUUGUUAAUAAGGCACUACUACAGUAAAUGAAUUGAAUAUCUAUUUUAAUAAAAAUUGUA
rnacentral:lncRNA from 10 species